rnacentral:rRNA from 1 species
UACGUAGGGCGCAAGCGUUGUCCGGAAUUAUUGGGCGUAAAGAGCUCGUAGGCGGUUUGUCGCGUCUGCUGUGAAAACCUAAGGCUCAACCUUGGGCUUGCAGUGGGUACGGGCAGACUAGAGUGCGGUAGGGGUGACUGGAAUUCCUGGUGUAGCGGUGGAAUGCGCAGAUAUCAGGAGGAACACCGAUGGCGAAGGCAGGUCACUGGGCCGCAACUGACGCUGAGGAGCGAAAGUGUGGGGAGCGAACAGG